rnacentral:rRNA from 1 species
UCUGGCAGUGAUUCACUGUCCGAGUUGUAAAUUGAAGAGGGUGUCAUCCACAUUGGACCAUGUCUAAAUUGUAAUGAUCCACAGUCCUUUGAUGGAGUAUCAGAGAGGGUAAUAAUCCCGUCUUUAACAUGGACUACCAGUGUUUUUGUGAUGCACUCUCUCAGAGUCGAGUAGUUUGGGAAUGCUGCUCUAAUGGGAGGUAAACUCCUUCUAAAGCUAAAUAUUGGCGAGAGACCGAUAGCGAACAAGUACCGUGAGGGAAAGAUGAAAAGAACUCUGGAAAGAGAGUCAAAUAGAACGUGAAAUUGCUGAAAGGGAAGCGUUUGGAGUCAGACACAUCUUCAUGCCAUACCACUUAGUGGCAGAGGCUGAGAGUGGUUACUUGAAGAUGGGCCAGCACUCACGAAGACCAUUGAAGAAGGGGUCAUGGAAUGUAGCUCAAGUCUUGAGUGAUUAUAGCCUUGAUUCAGAAGCAAUGUGUCUUUGUGUGAGAUUGACAGCAUGGACUUUGUGAAGUGCUUGAUUGACUGGCAUAAUGGCUCUAAGCGACCCGUCUUGAAACACGGACCAAGGAGUCUAACAUGUAUGCGAGUAUUAGAGUGAUUGAAACUCUGAAUGCGCAAUGAAAGUGUUCUGACUGAGAAUCCCCCCCUGGGAGGCAUCAGUACCCCGAGUCUGUUAGUCUUUGACUAAAGAUUUGGAGGCAGAGCAUACAUGUUGGGACCCGAAAGAUGGUGAACUAUGCCUGAAUAGGGUGAAGUCAGAGGAAACUCUGAUGGAGGCCCGUAGCGAUUCUGACGUGCAAAUCGAUCGUA